rnacentral:rRNA from 1 species
GACGAACGCUGGCGGCGUGCUUAACACAUGCAAGUCGAACGGAAAGGCCCUGCUUUUGUGGGGUGCUCGAGUGGCGAACGGGUGAGUAACACGUGAGUAACCUGCCCUUGACUUUGGGAUAACUUCAGGAAACUGGGGCUAAUACCGGAUAGGAGCUCCUGCUGCAUGGUGGGGGUUGGAAAGUUUCGGCGGUUGGGGGUGGACUCGCGGCUUAUCAGCUUGUUGGUUGGGUAGUGGCUUACCAAGGCUUUGACGGGUAGCCGGCCUGAGAGGGUGACCGGCCACAUUGGGCUUGAGAUACGGCACAGACUCCUCCGGUAGGCAGCAGUGGGGAAUAUUGCACAAUGGGCGGAAGCCUGAUGCAGCAACGCAGCGUGCGGGAUGACGGCCUUCGGGUUGUAAACCGCUUUCGCCUGUGACGAAGCGUGAGUGACGGUAAUGGGUAAAGAAGCACCGGCUAACUACGUG